rnacentral:rRNA from 1 species
UACGUAGGGCGCAAGCGUUAUCCGGAAUUAUUGGGCGUAAAGAGCUCGUAGGCGGUUUGUCGCGUCUGCCGUGAAAGUCCGGGGCUCAACUCCGGAUCUGCGGUGGGUACGGGCAGACUAGAGUGAUGUAGGGGAGACUGGAAUUCUUGGUGUAGCGGUGAAAUGCGCAGAUAUCAGGAGGAACACCGGUGGCGAAGGCGGGUCUCUGGGCCGAUACUGACGCUGAGGCACGAAAGCGUGGGGAGCAAACAGG